rnacentral:rRNA from 1 species
CCCUUAGAUGUCCGGGGCUGCACGCGCGCUACACUGGAGGAAUCAGCGUGCUAAAACCAUUGUCGAAAGGCAUUGGUAAACCCAUUAAAAUCCUACGUGAUUGGGAUCGGGAAUUGCAAUUAUUUCCCUUGAACGAGGAAUUCCCAGUAAGUGUGGGUCAUAAGCUCGCGUUGAUUACGUCCCUGCCCUUUGUACACACCGCCCGUCGCUGCCCGGGACUGAGCCGUUUCGAGAAAAGCGGGGACUGCUGCUGUCGGGGCUUUCGGGCCUUGGCUUCGGUGGAAACCGCUUUAAUCGCAGUGGCUUGAACCGGGCAAAAGUCGUAACA